GUAAGAUAAGCUAAAUUAAGCUUUUGGGCCCAUACCCCGAAUAUGUUGGCGAAAAUCCAUCUCUUACUA
rnacentral:tRNA from 1 species